rnacentral:rRNA from 1 species
UAGGGAAUAUUGCGCAAUGGGCGAAAGCCUGACGCAGCCAUGCCGCGUGUGUGAAGAAGGCCUUAGGGUUGUAAAGCACUUUCAAUUGGGAGGAAAAGCUCAAGGGUAAUAUCCUUGAGCCCUGACGUUACCUUUAGAAGAAGCACCGGCUAACUCCGUGCCAGCAGCCGCGGUAAUACGGAGGGUGCAAGCGUUAAUCGGAAUUACUGGGCGUAAAGCGCGCGUAGGCGGUUUAUUAAGUCGGAUGUGAAAGCCCCGGGCUCAACCUGGGAACUGCAUCCGAUACUGGUCGACUAGAGUGCGAGAGAGGGAGGUAGAAUUCCACGUGUAGCGGUGAAAUGCGUAGAUAUGUGGAGGAAUACCGGUGGCGAAGGCGGCCUCCUGGCUCGACACUGACGCUAAGGUGCGAAAGCGUGGGGAGCAAACAGG